UGUUGUUACAGGCAGAAAUACACUGUAUACACUCGAUUACUGAUACUUUGUAUUAAGCGUAUCUUAAGUACGCCAGCCGAGUGGAAAAGCAGCUUUUUAUAGCUGUUUUUUUAUGUAUAAA
rnacentral:ncRNA from 1 species